GCCUUUGUGGCCUAAUGGAUAAGGCACCGGCCUCAUAAGCCGUGGAUUGCGGAAUCAAGUUUCGCCGGAGGUU
rnacentral:tRNA from 1 species